rnacentral:rRNA from 1 species
AUUGAACGCUGGCGCCAGGCCUAACACAUGCGAGUCGAGCGGAUGACGGGAGCUUGCUCCUUGAUUCAGCGGCGGACGGGUGAGUAAUGCCUAGGAAUCUGCCUGGUAGUGGGGGGCAACGUUUCGAAAGGAACGCUAAUACCGCAUACGUCCUACGGGAGAAAGCAGGGGACCUUCGGGCCUUGCGCUAUCAGAUGAGCCUAGGUCGGAUUAGCUUGUUGGUGGGGUAAUGGCUCACCAAGGCGACGAUCCGUAACUGGUCUGAGAGGAUGAUCAGUCACACUGGAACUGAGACACGGUCCAGACUCCUACGGGAGGCAGCAGUGGGGAAUAUUGGACAAUGGGCGAAAGCCUGAUCCAGCCAUGCCGCGUGUGUGAAGAAGGUCUUCGGAUUGUAAAGCACUUUAAGUUGGGAGGAAGGGCAGUAAGCUAAUACCUUGCUGUUUUGACGUUACCGACAGAAUAAGCACCGGCUAACUCUGUGCCAGCCGCCGCCGUAAUAC